CCAACUUCGCCGUAGUCUGCUCCUUCUUGGAGCGCUACGGGCCGCUGCUAGACCUGCCUGAGUUGCCGUUCCCUGAGCUGGAGCGGGUGCUGCAGGCGCCGCCGCCGGACGUCGGCAACGGAGAAGACGUGGUGUAGGUGCUGUGGAUCGGUGAUCCGCAGGCUCCUGCUCCUUGACUCACCACUGUUCACUCUCGCCGAGGAACAAGUCAGUCAGGAAGCUGCGCAGCAGCCAUGGCUUUUAAGGAUACCGGAAAAACACCCGUGGAGCCAGAGGUGGCAAUUCACCGAAAUCGAAUCACUCUAACGGGCGUCACCAUACAAUCCCUGGAAAAGGUGUGUGCUGACUUCGUCAGAAGAGCAAAGGAAAAGAAUCUCCAAGUGAAAGGAUCAGUUCGAAUGCCUACCAAGACUUUGAGAAUGACUACAAGAAAAACUCCUUGUGGUGAAGGUUCUGAGACAUGGGAUCCUUUCCAGAUGAGAAUCCACAAACGACUCAUUGACUUGCACAGUCCUUCUGAGAUUGUUAAGCAGAUUGCUUCCAUCAGUUUGAGCCAGGAGUUGAGGUGAAAGUCACCAUUACAGAUGCUUAAGUCAACUAUUUUAAUAAAUUGAUUACCAGUUGUUAAAAAAAUAAUAAAUGGCAAGCUUGAUCCCAUUCAUCAUUAGACUACUUUUUGCUCUCAUGUUUUGCUCAGAAUUAAGUUUUAAUACUCAUUUAAAAAUACUUAAAUAAAUUUGGUUUCUCUCAAAGUAA